CAAUAGCGUACAUUAAAGUUGUUGCAGUUAAAAAGCUCGUAGUUGGAUUUCGGGAUGGCCCGGCCGGUCUGCCGCAAGGUAUGUUACUGGCCGAGCUGUUCUUCUUCGCAAAGACUGUGUGUGCUCUUAACUGAGUGUGCUCAGGAUCUGUGACGUUUACUUUGAAAAAAUUAGAGUGUUCAAAGCAAGCCAGCGCUUGAAUACAUAAGCAUGGAAUAAUGGAAUAGGACUUUGGUUCUAUUUUGUUGGUUUCUGGAACCUUAGUAAUGAUUAAGAGAGACAGUUGGGGGCAUUCGUAUUUCGUUGUCAGAGGUGAAAUUCUUGGAUUUACGAAAGACGAACUACUGCGAAAGCAUUUGCCAAGAAUGUUUUCAUUAA
rnacentral:rRNA from 1 species